CUUCCUUUCAACCUAACCUUCUCUCCCUCGUACGAUUUCCGGCGACGAAGCGCCACCGUAAACCACCAUCCCUAACUUUUUCAAACAUCAAAACUUAAACUCGAAUCCUACUUUAUCUCUAAUCUAAACGCGAGUAUGAACCUGGAUUUCAACUAAUCUCCCUCACUCAACGGGAUCGAAGAAGGAAAUCGGAAACCCUAAGAAUUGGGGCUUCAUCAUUCAAACGCAAUUACAUGGAAUUGAAGCAUACAGAGUACUGAUAGAAUUAUAGACGGACAUACGGGAGUUAAGGAAUGCUUAAACGGAACCUGUCACGUCGACCUGAGCUUCCGGUGCGGUGGCGGAGAUUCCCGACCAUCGCGAACUCAGGGCCUUUAUCUUGAAUGAAUUUUGAGCAUUAAAAGCUACAAGGCUUGAAGCUUGAAGUCUGAAGAUGUGUGAUGCAUAAGAGGAUGACUCAUGGUAUGGACCCGUUUCAAACUGAUAUUGCAAUCUCUGAUUUUCUGUCAUGUUUCGAUGAAGAGUGGAACGGCUUUGUGGUCGUAGGUUCUGGCUGGAGAGCAAAAGGAGAGCUCGCAAACGAAUGGAACCUAAUGUUCGGAGGAUGGUGAACUUACAGAUUGGGGCAAAAAGUCUUGAAGAAUAGGUUUUAGUGUUUGUGUAGUAUUGUAUGGCUCGGUUUAGCCUUAGUGAUGACAUGUACGCAGGGCUGCCAUUGGCUUGUGAAUGUAUGUGUUUUGCUGUACUGUGAUGUGUUUGUGACUGUGUGAACAUUUGGUCUCUUGUAAAGAAUCAUGGUUUAGAAUGAAAGUGGUGAUGUCUAGAGAUUAGGAACAGAAA